rnacentral:rRNA from 1 species
GUGAGGAAUAUUGGUCAAUGGGCGGGAGCCUGAACCAGCCAAGUCGCGUGAAGGAAGAAGGAUCUAUGGUUCGUAAACUUCUUUUGCAGGGGAAUAAAGUGCAGGACGUGUCCUGUUUUGUAUGUACCCUGAGAAUAAGGAUCGGCUAACUCCGUGCCAGCAGCCGCGGUAAUACGGAGGAUCCGAGCGUUAUCCGGAUUUAUUGGGUUUAAAGGGUGCGUAGGUGGUUUGAUAAGUCAGCGGUGAAAGUUUGCAGCUUAACUGUAAAAAUUCCGUUUAAACUGUCGGACAUGAGUGUAAAUGAGGUAGGCGGAAUGCGUGGUGUAUCGGUGAAAUGCAUAGAUAUCACGCAGAACUCCGAUGGCGAAGGCAGCUUACUAAGCUACAACUGACACUGAAGCACGAAAGCGUGUGGAUCAAACAGGAUUAGAUACCCCGGUAGUCC